rnacentral:rRNA from 1 species
UACGUAGGGGGCAAGCGUUGUCCGGAAUUAUUGGGCGUAAAGAGCGUGUAGGCGGUCCGGCAAGUCGGCUGUGAAAGUCCAGGGCUCAACCCUGGGAUGCCGGUCGAUACUGCCGGACUAGAGUUCGGAAGAGGCGAGUGGAAUUCCCGGUGUAGCGGUGAAAUGCGCAGAUAUCGGGAGGAACACCUAUGGCGAAGGCAGCUCGCUGGGACGUUACUGACGCUGAGACGCGAAAGCGUGGGGAGCAAACAGG